GUGUUUGGUUGAGUGCGUGUGCGUGGCGUCCCUCUGUCAUCUGUCGGUGUGGUGGUCCCUGCGGUGGUCCUUGCGUGCGUGGCAGAAAACAUUACCGGACUGAACGUAAGAGAGCAAGCGAGCUACCCAGCGAGCCGAACACAAGACUAACACAGGACAACACGGGACAGAGCAGGAGUGAAGAGGCGAAGAGGGAUCACUGCUUAGAUUUAUUCAUACACGAAGGAGUUGAGGAAGCUCUUACAGUUGUGAAGCAAUUGGCCUAGAAGCUGCUUGUCCUUCUUGAACUGGUGUAGGUCUCACUGUCACCAUCAAUAGUGAUUAGAUCGCCUCUGGGAACAAGUUAAUGUAAGCAUGAUGCGCAUCGUAGACUGAGAACUGGGAAGAUUGAAGAUGGUCGGUGGUUUGAGUCCAGAAAAAGAUGAUGAAAUUGAUUUG